UUUUUUUUUGUUUUUUGGCUUUUUGUCUUUUCAGGGCCGCACUUGCAGCAUGUGGAGGUUCCCAGGCUAGGGGUCUAAUCAGAUCUAUAGUAGCCAGCCUACACCAAAGCCACAGCAAGGCGGGAUCUGAGCCACGUCUGCGACCUACACCACAGCUCACAGCAGUGCCAGAUCCUUAACCCACUGAGCGAGGCCAGGGAUCGAACCCACAACCUCAUGGUUCCUAGAUGGAUUCGUUGCCACUGUGCCAGGACGGGAACUCCAACAGUGUUAAUUUUUUAGGUGCCACAAUAAUAUUACGAAGGGAACAUCUGUAAUUUUUAGUGACUAGGAAUGAUGUGGCAACUUACUUUGGAAUAAUAUGGAAAAAAAUUGAACCUGUACGGCAAAAUCUUAAUCACUGCUGAAUUUAGAUGAUAAAUGUAAGUGUACUGUAUUACUCUUGAUAUUCUUCUAUAUUUUUGAAAACUUUAAUAAUACAAAUUUAGAAAAAAAUUUAAAAAUUAAUGUAAGAAAUGUCCCUUCAAAACCACUUUGUCUUUCAUUCACUUCCUAGAAAUUUUUCCACAGUCCUACUAAUUUUAUAAUUUACAACACUAGUAGAUGAAAAACAGAUUUUGUUUUUCCCUUCUCGCAGAUUAGAAAAAUAAAAGCUCUGAGUGGAGGAGAAGAGGCAAAUUCAUUAGCCCAAGAAAGUAGACGAGUGGUUUGUUUCCUAGAGGUGGGGGGUGUGGAGGAAAGUGGUUCGGGGAGAAAUGGGGAGUGAAUGCUAAUGGGUAGGCAGUUUGUUCUUCAAAUUGAUGAAGUGUGCUGAAGUCACCUGUGGUGGUGGUUGUACAAGUGUGACUCUACUGAAAACCACUGAAUUAUUUAAGUCACUGAAUUGUAUGGGAUAUAAAUUGUAUUUCAGUAAAGCUUAUUUUAAAACAUUGGCUCUUCUAGGUUUAGUAAACACAUAAAAUAAAUUUUGCAGUGCUACUUAGAUGAAACACAAAAUGUGAAAGAUGGAGCAAGGCUAAGAAUGGAAUGCAGAGAUAGAAAGGCUGUGCUUCCAUCCUAGGAAAGACAAGGGACUGCAUCUCAACGCUGCUGCUUAGUAGAGCUGUGCUCUCGCUUACUGUUUUGGUAUCUCGCUUUCCUUAUCCAUGACAGAUGUCUCAUGGUCCAUGCCUAUUUCAAGUAUCCCCUGACGAUAGAACAUACGAGAUGAUUUAAAAUGCUUUGAUCAGUUGGACAGUGCUAGUUAGUAUACUCUAGUUACUUAUGGCCAGGGUACUCAAGCUCUCAUUCGGAAAAUAAACACCUUGAAAUGGCCAUCGUAAGAAGAGUCUAGGGCACUUUCAGCUCUUAAUAUUCACUGAUUCCCCUACCCACUAAAACAUGGAGUCCAUUCCAGAGGAUUUUUUCAAUUUUUUUUUUAUGACAUUAAACUACACCCCUAUACGGAGAUAAAUCAUUUAACCUUUCACAGUUUUUAAACUAUGAAACCAGCCAAGUGAUGUAAUGCUGUGCCUUUGAGGGGGUGAGACGUGGGAGAUAAACAAGAUGAACAUAUCCCUUCAUACCCAGGCUGUUGCUUAGCCACAGAGUCAUACCACCUCCUAGGGAAGUGAAAAUACAUCCCCUCUGCUGCCGUUCCACCUGCCAACACCGCCUCACGGGAACCAGCUAUAGCCAUAGCAGUUUGGCUGAACAGAACAAAGACACUAUUGUUUGAGAACAGAUGCAGGAGAAGAUUUUGCCAAAUUGUGCAUAUUCUAAGGUGAGCAGAAUGCACAAUUUUCACAAAUGGAGCGUUAAUAACCAUUCUCUCACACCAUCAGUUAUGGCAGCCGACCAAGAGAAACCCGGGAAUGAGACGAGCCAGAGUGGGGUAAACACCCUGUGGUGUUCGGAAUGACUGGUCAACAGGGACUUCCCGUAGAGCACACGGAACUCUACCCAGUAGCCUGUGAUAAUCUACAUGGGAAAAAGAAUCUGAGAAAUAUAGAUCUGUGCAUAUGUAUAACUGGAGCUCUUUGUGGUACAGCAGACAUCGUCACAACAUUGUAAAUCAACGCUACUUCAAUAAAACUUUAAAAAAUGAAAAAAAAAGAAAAAAGAAAAAAAGGGCUUUUUCUUCCUCUCUCACAUUAAGAAUGUAAGCAUACUGUAAAUGCAAUGGAGAACAAACUUGCUGGAAGAGAGACAUCUCCAGCAGAAAAAAGUCAUGUAAUGUUUAUUUAUAAUUACAAAAACUUUUAACCUUUUCUUUUUUGCACUAGAUGAGUAUUUAGCAGAAAUGCCUUUAAAUUCAUAUUGCAUGGAUUUCUUGUUACAUUACCAUGUACACUUGCAAUGGCAUUACCUAGAACCUUGCUACCUAAAAUGGGGUUCUAUAGGCUGGUAACCCCAUAAUUCUUUGAGAGCUUGCUAAAAAGGCAGAACCAUAGUCCCUCGUCAGAGUUGUCAGAAUUUCCAUUUUACUCAGGAGAUGGUGUUAGAAUAUGAAAAGUACUACCCUAGAAUGUAAGCUUCUGGAGGGAGGCUGGGUGCUCUUUCAGAUCAUCAGACACCUGGGGUAAUGGGAAACUAUCAACAUGCUGGGCUGCAUGAGGUAUGAGCAGAGCAACUUCAACAGUGGAAUUUGUGUCCUUGGUUAGGGACGUUCAGGAGGCAGCAAACACACUCUCUUGUUCACCAGUAAGAGGAGUAUUAGAAGCUAUGUUUCCCAGCUCCCCUUGUAAAAAAAAUCAAGGCCAUGGCCUUAGUUCUGGCCAAUGGGGUAGAUCAAUAGUUGGAAGAUGUGGCCAUAAGAAUUCCUGUGCAACCCUUAAGACUGACGACAUAAUCUUUGAGGCUCAGUGAAAAAUGAAAACGCAAGGCCUCUCACUCAAAAUUUCAGGAUGGCCACAGCAGAGCAUUAAACCAUAUACAAGCCUUUCUAAAUGGGAACAGGUGGGUGGGUGGGUGGGGAGUGAGCUCCUGCAGAGGAUGCCUGCCAUGGAGCCCCUCUAGUUUUUCUCUGGAAACUCCAGAAAACCUGUGUGAAAUGGAGGCAUUUUAAGAUGCUAGUGUGUGAGCCUGUGUCCCUGAGUGACUGUGGGAGCAGAGCCCCUGGCAACACUUUCUGAACAUAUAGUGAAUGAGAAAUAAGCCUUUGUUUCUUCACAGCUCUGGAAUUUCAGAGUUAAUUGUUGCUGCCUCAUAAUUUAGCCCAUUUUGAGUUUCAUGUCUGAGUUGUUGCCAAUCACAGAUAAAUCAAUUUGAGAGGAAGAGGUUAAAACUUAGAGACUGGGGUAUUAAGGUAGGAAGGGCUGGCAUGGGGAACAGAACUGGAAUAUCAGGGCUUGUAGUAGAAAAAUAUUCAAAGGCGGAUUGGGAUGUUUAUUUAGAGAGAGUUUUGAAGAAGAAGGGAGCCUUCACCUGAUGACUUUCUCUUUUCCUAGUUACUGUGGAAGAAAAGUUACCUGGUAAUCAUGGAGUGUGAGCUUCAGAAUUGAUAUAAGACAAAUUUCUUUCUUUCUCCCUCCCUCUCUCUCUCUCUCUUUCCUUCCUUCCUUCCUUUCUCUCUCUUUCUUUCCUUCCUUUCUCUCUCUUUCUUUCCUUCUUUCUUUCUUUCUUUCUUUCUUUCUUUCCUUCUUUCUUUCCUUCUUUCUUUCUUUCUUUCUUUCUCUCUCUCUCUUUCCUCCCUUCUUUCAUUUCCUUCCCUUUCCCUUCUUCCCUCCCUCUCUCUCCCUUUCUUUCUUCCUCCCUCCCUCUUCCUUCCUUCCUUCCUUCAGCACCCAGAAUACAGAAGUUACCAAGCCAGGGAUCAAACCCACACCUCUGCAGAGAUCAAAGCUGCUGCACUCAGAUUCUUAACCCUAGGAACUGCCACAGUAGGAACUCCUAUAAAGAUGCAUUUUGAAAUAUCUACUGCUGGAAACUUCCUAGGAAACUGACAGGAGAUGAUAAGAAGAUGUGUUUCAGAAAAGAUGAUAGUUGUAACCUUUGGGUGGAGUCAAGACACUCAAUAGAUGGAGCUAGAGAAGACAGAAGGAAGACAUGGCCCAGCAUCAUGAGCCAUAAGAGGUAAUUUGAGUAAAAUUUUGCAGAAAAUCUGUCAUCUCUGUAGUUAGGAAUUGAUUGCUCCGUUGAUAUAAAUCAUGACCAUUUGGCAGUUUCAGAUAGGUCUGCAAAACCACACAUGGUGGUUAUCACUUGGAUAAAGGCAUCUGGGUGCUCAGAAAGGCUUCCAAAAGUGGCAUUUUCUUUGGUAAAAUUACCACAGUGUGCAUAAUGAUUGCUAUCCCUGCAAACUUCAAAAUUGAUAUUAUAAGGAAAUACAAAUGUCGAGCAGACUAGGCUAGUAUUCUUGCAUUCUCUUCUUCUACCCAAACUCCACAGGAAGCAACUGACAACUGGAUUGCUGGUUAAAUUUCCAAAUAAUGAUAAUAUAAACUAUGUGCCAGAUAAUUCUUCUAAAUAUUUCACACGUAUUCCUUUGAUUCUCACAACAAGCCAAGAAGCAAGAUCCUCUUAUAAUCUCCAUUUUUUCCAGAUAAGUAUGCUGAAGUAAAGAGAGACUGAGUAAUAUUUGCAAGUUCACAUGAAUAGUGAUGAGUGGCCGAACUGCUUGUCUGUGCUGUGGUUUAGGGGUUAAGAGAGGCAGUCUGGUUUCACAUCUCUAGUAAAAAGACAUUGCUAUAGUUGGCCAGGGCAGCCAGCCUUUCCCGGGGGUGAGCUACAAGGAAAGCCAUAAGCUUAGAGAGGCAGGAUGGCUUUGUGGUAAGAGCAUGGAUGUUUGAGUCACACUUCUUGGGGUCCCGUCUUU
ensembl:lncRNA